AUUGAACGCUGGCGGCAUGCCUUACACAUACAAGUCGAACGGUAACAGGUCUUCGGAUGCUGACGAGUGGCGAACGGGUGAGUAAUACAUCGGAACGUGCCCGAGAGUGGGGGAUAACGAAGCGAAAGCUUUGCUAAUACCGCAUACGAUCUCAGGAUGAAAGCAGGGGACCGCAAGGCCUUGCGCUCACGGAGCGGCCGAUGGCAGAUUAGGUAGUUGGUCGGAUAAAAGCUUACCAAGCCGACGAUCUGUAGCUGGUCUGAGAGGACGACCAGCCACACUGGGACUGAGACACGGCCCAGACUCCUACGGGAGGCAGCAGUGGGGAAUUUUGGACAAUGGGCGCAAGCCUGAUCCAGCCAUGCCGCGUGCAGGAUGAAGGCCUUCGGGUUGUAAACUGCUUUUGUACGGAACGAAAAGACUCCUUCUAAUAAAGGGGGUCCAUGACGGUACCGUAAGAAUAAGCACCGGCUAACUACGUGCCAGCCGCCGCGGUAACAC
rnacentral:rRNA from 1 species